AUUUUCUGGAAUCAUUUCAGACAUACCAAAGACAAUCAACAUCUCAAAACAGAAGCCAAAGACUAUCACCAAUCCCAAAUGAACAGCCUGCUGCAUUAUCAACUGCUGUAAAUGAACAGCGUAGUGUUCAGGUUAAUAAUGCUCUGGGAUAUCGAACUGGGGAUACACCAACUGUGUUGCUGAGAGUAACUUCAUCCUUGCAAAGCCCAAUACCAUCAUCAUCUGCAAAUGUGCAGCCUCAACAACUAUUGGAUUUACCCAGAGAGCUAAAUGACACUGUUGAUGGUAAUUCUGAAUCGGUCGAUGACUAUAUACCAGAGAUGUUGGUGAUAAUCUUUCUCUUGGGGAGUUGAAGGAGUUCCUGCAGGGACUUCAUCAGGAAUCUCGACUCAAAUCCCUUCCUGAUGGAAGUAAGGAGGGACCAUAUACGGAGGGAUUCUCUUACAUUAAUUAAGUUCUCCCAAGAAGACCUCCAAAACCCUCUACAGAUAAAGUUCUGUGGGGAAGAAGGGGUCGACUCCUCCACCAGCUCUCGCAUUCGUUUUAUAUGUCAGGUAAAUAAUUCUUUUUAUCAACAAGUUAUAAAGCAUGACUUCUGUGGGUUUUCUUGGUGAUUUUCUCCACCCAUUCAACUUGUAAUGUCUGUAAAUGACCUCAAUGUGUUUCUUAACUUGCACCAAACAUAAAAACAAUUUCACCUAUUUCAACAUUACAAACAUUUCUGUGAUACAUUUAAAGGAUGGGACAAGGAAUGACUUGAUCCAUUAUCGGCUCCUUCAUUUGAAGUAUCAUAAA